UUGCCUACUUUGAAACAUCCUAGGUCAUAUAAGUUACAAUGGUUGAAUGAAUGUGGAGAAAUUAAGAUGACUAAGCAAGCACUAGUUACUUUUUCCAUUAGUAGAUAUCAUGAUAAGGUUAUAUGUGAUGUAGUGUCUAUGCAUGCUAGUCAUCUGUUACUUGAUAGACCAUGGCAGUUUGACAGGCGAGUGAUACAUGAUGGUUACAG
rnacentral:misc_RNA from 1 species